CAGAUUUUUGUGAAAGUCAAACUUUGCCAACUUUGACCAAGUGUAUAGAGAAAUCUGUCUACAUCUACAAUACCAAACAUGUACAUUCUGAAAAUAUAAUUCAUGAUGUAUCCAAUGAUGUGCAUUUGGUAUUCUAGAUGUAAAUACUUUUCUCUAUAAACAUGGUCAAAGUUUGUAAUGUUUGACUUUUGAAAAAAUCUA
rnacentral:pre_miRNA from 1 species